UACGUAGGGGGCGAGCGUUGUCCGGAAUCAUUGGGCGUAAGCGCGUGUAGGCGGCCCGGUAAGUCCGCUGUGAAAGUCCAGGCUCAACCCUGGGAUGCCGGUGGAUACUGUCGGGCUCGAGUCCGGAAGAGGCGAGUGGAAUUCCUGGUGUAGCGGUGAAAUGCGCAGAUAUCAGGAGGAACACCGAUGGCGAAGGCAGCUCCGCUGGGACGGUACUGACGCUGAGGCGCGAAAGCGUGGGGAGCAAACAGG
rnacentral:rRNA from 1 species